rnacentral:misc_RNA from 1 species
GAUGAAGAACGCAGCGAAAUGCGAUAAGUAAUGUGAAUUGCAGAAUUCAGUGAAUCAUCGAAUCUUUGAACGCUCAUUGCGACCGCUAGUAUUCUGGCGGGCAUGCCUGUUCGAGCGUCAUUUCAACCAUCAAGCCCUUUAGCUUGUGUUGGGGACCUGCGGCUGCCGCAGCCCCCGAAAUGCAGUGGCGGGCUCGUUGUCACACCGAGUGCAGUAAUCAUUCUUCUCCCCGGGCGUGGCGGCGGGUUCCGGCCGUAAAAUCACCAAUUUAUCAAGGUUGACCUCGGAUCAGGUAGGAAUACCGCUGAACUUAAGCAUAUCAAUAAGCGGAGGA